GGGGAAGCACCCGAGGUGCCCCUCACUUUCGCCCCUGCAGCUUUCCAAACAAACCAGGGCGGGAUGGGAGUGUCUUCUUGGCUGUGGAACUUGAUCCUCCUACCUUGUCCUGAAGCCACCCGCCGCUUUCCCCCGGCCCCCUUCGCGGUGAUUUUCCUGUCCGGGACGCCCGGAGAGGGCGCGCGGCUGGUGUCCGCCAGCCGGAAAGGUGGGCCAGCCAUGAGAGGGUACCUUGUGGCCAUCUUCCUGAGUGCUGUCUUCCUCUAUUAUGUGCUGCAUUGUAUAUUGUGGGGAACAAAUGCCUAUGGGGUGCCACCUGUGGAAAUGAAGAAGAGAAAUAAGAUCCAGCCUUGUUUAUCAAAGCCAGCUUUUGCCUCUCUCCUGAGGUUUCAUCAGUUUCACCCUUUUCUGUGUGCAGCUGAUUUUAAAAAUACUGCUUCCUUCUAUGGUAGCGAUAAGUUUGAUUUGCCCUAUGGGAUAAGAACAUCAGCCGAAUACUUUCGACUUGCUCUUUCAAAACUGCAGAGUUGUGAUCUCUUUGAUGAGUUUGACAAUGUGCCAUGUAAAAAAUGUGUGGUGGUUGGUAAUGGUGGAGUUUUGAAGAAUAAGACGUUAGGAGAAAAAAUUGACUCCUAUGAUGUAAUAAUAAGAAUGAAUAAUGGUCCUAUUUUAGGACAUGAAGAGGAAGUUGGGAGAAAGACUACCUUCCGACUUUUUUAUCCAGAAUCUGUUUUUUCAGAUCCCAAUCACAAUGAUCCUAACACUACGGUGAUUCUCACUGCUUUUAAGCCGCUUGAUUUAAAGUGGCUGUGGGAAUUGUUGACAGGUGGCAAAAUAAACACUAAUGGUUUUUGGAAGAAACCAGCAUUAAAUCUGAUCUAUAAACCGUAUCAAAUCAGAAUAUUAGAUCCUUUCAUUAUCAGAACAGCAGCUUAUGAACUGCUUCAUUUCCCAAAAGUGUUUCCCAAAAAUCAGAAACCCAAACACCCAACAACAGGAAUUAUUGCCAUUACGUUGGCAUUUCACAUAUGUCAUGAAGUUCACCUUGCUGGUUUUAAGUACAACUUUUCUGACCUCAAGAGUCCUUUGCACUACUUUGGGAAUGCCACCAUGUCUUUGAUGAAUAAGAAUGCGUAUCACAAUGUGACUGCAGAGCAGCUCUUUUUGAAGGACAUUAUAGAAAAAAACUUUGUAAUCGACUUGACGCAAGAUUGACCCUACAGACUCCGAAGAUGAUGCGAACAGUAUUAGUUUUAUUUUUACACUGCAAUUUUUAGUUUAUUUUUAAAUAUGUUGUUGGAUGUACUUGUCAAGAAAUUAUAGUAAGUCUAUUGCUGCCUGGUGCUUCAUAACCACCAGCUUAAUUUCUGUGAAUAUAUUUAAUUUAUGGAAACCAAGACAUGCUAAGCUAUCAGGGAGAGUGAAUUUUUCAUUGCAUUGUUUUAAAAAUAAGCUAGUUUUCUGAAGUGUUUUUAAGCAUCUUUUUAUAGUUACUUCAUCUUAGACUUUUGAAGGGAUGUGACUUCCUAAUAAGUAAGGGGAUUUAGUUUACCACAGCAGAUUUUGAAUGUAACGUGACAUUCUGAGAGGUUUAUCUGCCUCCUGUAAAUUGGUGGGGAGCUGGCAUGCAGCGGUGCCUUGAAUGUGGCAUACUGGAACCACCUCAGGCCUCUGUAGCUCUCUCUGGAUGAUUGUUUGGUUCCUUUUUGUUCUACCUGAGGAACCUGGCUGGAAUCUUAAACCAGACCCUAAGCAUGGAUGAUUAGGGAAACCUAAGAUCAUACUGGCUUAAUUAAGCAUUCUUUUCCUACAGUUAAGUUAAACCAUGAUUAUGAUGAGUAGUUUGGUAGAAUGAAGAUGUUCUUUAAGUCGAAAGAAAUAGGAUAAAUAUGAAACUCUGGAUAAGUAAAUAACCAAAGAAAGAAUGCAAUUCCUAAAAUCUGGUGACUGCAUUAUUUUAAAGAAAUACAGUUUAUACAAAGAAGCUGAACUAGGCAAGCUCAAGAAGGAGAAAAUUCUUAAAACAUUUUUUGCCUGGUUUAAUUUAUUCAUUAAAAUUUCAAAGUUUAUUGGAAGUAAAUUAGGAAAGACAUGAAUGAGUAAACCUUUAAGAAGAGUCAAGCUUUUUCUGGAUUUAAAUGUCAUUUUCAUGAAAAACCAAUUGUCCACAUGAUUAAAUCGCAUCUUCAAAUGGAAAGCUUACCUAGGGUGCACCAGAGAAGACUGUUGUGGGAUGCAAACAAGCCAGUUGGACAAAAGUCGUGAGCUAGUCGUCUCCCUUUUCAUUUUAAUGUCUGACUAUAACCAAAGGCUAUGGGGAAGGAGGGGGACAAGGGGUGAAGAGAAGAGAACAGUGGAGGUUAUAAGGCUGGAAUCAAGAGCUGUCAGAAGAGGUAGGAGUGGAAAGAACUGGCAUCUCUUGAACAAUAAUUAUCACUGGGAGACAAUGAUAAUUAUCACUAACUAGCCUGCAUCUCUAAAGAGAGUGUAUAAAUACUAUUAGAUCAGAAACAGAAAUAAGUGACUGACAUACUUGAAAGUGGUGUAAGGGGGACAAAACUAGUAGCUGAAUUAACCCAGACCUAGGCAAUAAAUAUGGACUCUGUUCUGUUAAUCCCAGCAUAUGUUUGCACCAUACCAGUCUCGUUUGAUUUUUCUUCUUUGAGGUGGAAAAGGCACUGCUGUUCAAUGUGAUCGUUCCCUCAUACCACACAGCCAUAGGCUGCAGCUGGGCUGCUGAAGCUGAGUUUGAUGUAAAGUAAUUUGGGCUUCAGAAAGGAUGGUGCUGGCUACAGAAAAAGUCAAUGUCAAAAACCAACGGUAGGCACUUCCCUGGUGGUGCAGUGCCUAAGAAUCUGCCUGCCAAUGCAGGCAACACGGGUUCGAGCCCUGGUCCGGGAAGGAUCCCACAAGACGCGGAGCAACUAGGCCCAUGUGCCACAACUACUGAGCCUGCGCGCCACAACUACUGAAGCCCACAUGCCUAGAGUCCAUGCUCUGCAACGAGAAGCCACCGCAAUUAGAAGCCCACGCACCGUAUCCAAGGCUAGCCCCUGCUCGCUGCAACUAGAGAAAAGCCCCCGCGCAGCAACGAAGACCUAACGCAGCCAAAAAUAAAUAAAUGAAUUUAUAAAAACAACAACAACAAAAAACCAAACCCCCAAAACCCCCCAAUGGUGGCAUUUUCAAAUGUUACUGUAAGUACUAUAAUAUUGGCCAUAAAAACCUGAUCUUAAAAUUGAGGGAUCUGGCAUUUUGCAUGGUAUGAGAAAGGUUACAAACCUCAAGGUUGUUUUAUUUAAGCAAAAAACAAAAAACCUGAACAAGACACAUAUACAAUUUAUUAAAAACACGUGAACACAUUAAAAUCUCACUAUUUAUACAGUCUAAAUUCUAGCAACAUAUACAAAUACUGAGUGACUACAGUACAUGCCGAGGUAAGAAAAGUACAUUCUGGGAGAAUAUCACUGACACUCAAGCCAUUUUUAUUUCCAAUACGUAUUUCAAUACAUGUUUUGUUUCUACCUUUCCCAGUGCCAAAAAAGAAGAGGAGGAGAUGAGAAGAAACUAGUCACAAGUUGGAUUAAAUGAGAACUGGUGCCACAAUUGACCUAAAAGUAUCCAACUUUUCCUUAGAUUUUGCAGUUUAGGGACUUCAAGUUCAGAACUGAAAGGCAGAGCCAGUAGUCAUUCCAGUGGUGAGACUGGGAAGUGGGAGACCGGCCCACAGAAGGCCUCUGGUGUCACCUGCAGCAACCUGCCACCUGCCACAGAGAGUAGGAAUUCGGAAGAUGACAACUCAUGGCAGAGAUAGCAGACUUCACUGACUCGUAAAACGCUGAACUCCACUGCGUCCUUUGCCGCUGAGAAGUUUAAAGUGUCACACACCCUUAACUGCAUAGACCUGAUUCCUCUACCAUGUGCAAGAUAAGCCAACGCUGUCACUAACAGUGAGGGGACCGAGGGCCACGUGUGCAACGAAGAACGUUCUCCCCCAGCCUGCUCCUCAGAAUUCUGACACAUCCUCCCCUGGAGAAACUUCUGUCCCUCCCCAACAUUAAGAAUUGCUAUCUACCGUAAGCCUUUUAAAAAGAAAAAAAUCAAGCACACAAAAGGACAUUUUCUGAUGUACAGCUAAUUAAAAUAAUGCGCUGCAAGCUAAAGAGAAAGUUUUUCUAGUGUUGUCAACGAGGAAAAGAGGGUUAUGUGACUUGCUGAAGAUCACAAGUGGGGCUUUCUCAAAGAGCCCAAGCUAUGUGUUUUUCCUGCUUCGAAACAUUCUUCUCUAGUAUAAGACUAUGUUUUUAUUAUUGAUACUAAAAGCUCCCUCAUUUUAAAGUCUGGCUGUAUUUAAAAUAUAAUACUUCAUUAUUUCAAAGUAAGGUAUAGCGUAAAAUUUGUGGACGAGAUGGUAGGUGCUGAAGCUGUCCAAGGGUUGUACUAUAAAGGAUUUCAUAUUCUUGAUCUCCAGUGACAAAGCUGCAGGUGAUUUAUUCGUUACAUGUAAAGUACUUAGAACAGUGCCCUGCAUAGGUUAGGGAUUCAGUAACUUGCAGCUGUUUUUAUUAUUACUUUUCUCCUGGCUAUUUUCCAUAAGCCCCUUAAUGGCGCUUCCUCUUUACUCCUUGUCACAAAGCCAGUCGUCAGCAAUUUCAUCCACUACGUUUGUAGAAGUAACCUCAAUUCUGCGGCUCAGACCUUUUGUCCUGAACAGGCUCAUGUUCCAUCUUGCCUCUUGGGAGUCUGAAUGUCCAGAGUCCUUUAAACGUCAUCCCACACUGAUCUCAGGACUUGCCUCCUGCCUCUCAACAGCUCUACUCCCCUGUCCUCACGCCCACGCCCUGGGGCUUUAACCGCAGAGUAGUUAGACUUGAACUGCCGAUUGAUCAGAGGCUGCAGCGGCUAACAGCACGGGCUCUGAAGCCUGGACCAAAUCUCCACCCUGCCAUGUGCUGACCAGGUGACCUGGGACAAGUUACCUGUGCUCUCUCAGUCUCACUUUCCUCUUCUAUAAAAUGGGAUUUAUAACAACACCUGCUUCACAGGUUGUUUUAAGGAUUAAAUGAGUUAAAACACGUAAGGCAUUUAGAAAAACGUGUAAAACCAGCAUUUCGUUUUAUUUUCUAUGCAACUGCCGUUGCUACUGUUCUCACCACUACCACUGUUGCUGUCCGGUUCCCUGAAAGCAUCGUGAACUUUCCUUCCUGGACUCUCCCAGAGCCCUGUUCCCUCCUCCCCCGCCUCAUGCCCUCAUGCUAAGUUGUCAGUUCUGUACAGACAGCCCCCCAACACCAGGAAUCCGGGACCCACGCCUCCUCCAGCUUCCUUCCACCCGUGGAACAAACUGUGGUUGGUACGGUUAUGAUUCCUACUCAUCUUGGGUGAAACUUAGAGGAUUUAAGCUAUUUAAGACAUGUUACGUAGUUCAAAAUGGAGUCCCAGUGGCCAACACGAACUUGCCUAUGAGUUGUUUUGAAACAUCCACUGUAGGACUGCCAGUGUCCUCGAAUGAUAAACUGAGAAUAUUACUUUAGACAAGAAGUUUGAUGGGCCAUGUAUGGCACGGGAACAGACAGCAACUGAAAGAGUCCAGACUCUUCCCCUGGGGUAACAGUUAUUCCUUAAGAGGAGACCAUUGAACAGAGUGACCUGAAGGAUCUUGGCUGGAGGCCCCCAUGCUGCUGAGAGCUGUUCCAGAUGGAGGCCGCCUGCGGCCCUGCUGGAGCCGGGGUGGUUUCCCACUCUCACUUGUCAUGUGCUGCUGUUGGUGCUGAGAUGCCUCCUUCAAGGCUUCUCCUUGGAGUGGUUCGUUUACACCCUCCUCCCCUGCCCACCCCCCCCCACACUUUGCCUAACCUGUGUUGUGCGCUAAUUAUGUAUAGUAAACCGAGUGAGUCGUGAGUUGAAUAUUGGCUACUGUUUUAUCUCCAAUCCCGUGAUCCCUACCUGCCCUUACUGCUGGGCCCUGCAACAAACAGGUUCCACGGUGGAAGGUUUUCUGCAGAGUAUCCUCUCCCAUCCAUAGACUCUGGGGUUCACCACUGGACUCCCAGCACACGGCUCAAUACUUGGCAGGGAGUAGGAGGCUCAAAUAUCUGUUGGAUGGCUAGACAAAUGAAGUCCCUCCAAAGCUGUCAGUCACCAAUCUGUCCCUCCUACCCUGUUACCUCUACUCACGCCAUCUCUACCGGUCAACUGCACAAGCCAGAAACGUGAGAGAAACUUAGAUCCUCCUCCUUCCUUAGCAAGUGGCCAGUCAAGCCCUGCACUGACGCCUCUGGGAACCCUCUCCCCCUCCAAGUCUCUCCCUUUCCUAGAAUUGCUGUAUCAUGUUCCUGUGUGGCCUUAAAAGUUUCCUAACUCAUCUCUCUGCCUCUUCUAGUCUCUCUCUCCUCUUCAAUCCACCCUCCUGCCACCAUUUUUCUACAAUCAUCUGAUAAUAUCACCUGUCCGCUGAACCCUGCUCAAGGAUUUCCCCAUCUACAGAAAGUCCUUCCUGGUCCCAGGUCCAGGCUGCAUUUCUAUGGGUCUCCUAGCGCUCCCGCACGCCAAGCCCCUGUGGGAUGACUCACUGUUCUGCCUACAUUCCACAACUCUGUGCCUUCCUGCAAGCCAUCCCAUCCAUCUGGGCCAUUCUCUCUUCCUCUAUCUCGCCAAAUGUAAUCCCUCCUUUAAGGCAAACCAUGCCAAAUUUGAGGAACACUCUUUUCUGAAAAAAAGGUUUCAGGUAAUUCUCAUGGUUCUUACGUCUGUGUUCCCCAGCACUUCAUAUACAACUCAUCAUGCCAAAGUAUAGUGGUCAACCCUGCUAAAC